rnacentral:ncRNA from 1 species
UAUGUUUAGGCACAAUAAGCAUAAAUCGCGUGUAUGUCAAAAGGGAAACAGCCCAGAACAAGAGUUAAGGUUCCAAAAUUAUUAUUAAGUGAAAUUAAGAAGGUUUUUAUUUAAGUCGACAAGGAGAUAGGCUUGGAGGCAGCCAUAAUUUAAAGACCUCGUAACAGAGCGCUUGUUAAGUUUUAAAAUGCAUCGAAAAUAUAACGGAUCUAAAUAAUAUACCGAUACCUUGUCCAUAAAUUAAGAUAAUUUAUUAUGUUAUUUAUGGGGUA